UCUUGUAGCUUACCUCGAGAGCUUUUCAAAACGCUAUAAUAAAGUAUUUUUUCGUUAAAUAUUAUUCGAGUUAUGAGAACUACAAGUUACAGUACUGCAGGAAUAGAAUCGGGAUUUCAACAUCGCUGUCUCGGUGGAAUUAAUGUCAAGACACGUCUCGGUAAGGCAGCAGGACCGAAUCGCGAUCAGUCGUUAAACGCCUGGUUCCGCCGGGUCUUUAAGUACUUUAAUUACUUUAAUUACUUGAGCGGAUUGCCGUCGGAAGGGACGAGGACGGGUGACGAGCCCACCGCCAAGGGCGACGGUAAGCUGCAAACUUUCGGAGAUGAAGAGGGAGAAGGGGGAGAGGGAUUCACCAUACUAAUCUCUAAGGCUGCUCGGCCAAGGGGACAUUAAGAUUAAGAGCCCGUCCGUCUUAACUCGACAGAUGCCAUUUGUCACCGCGUAAGACCGAGAGAGAGCUGUGAAAAUUGAAAUGCAGCGAUUAAACGCGGCUAACGCGUGUUUACCAUCGGGCGCACGAUUGGUGGGUUUAAUAAAUUUGGCUCUUCAAUCUCGGCUGAAUUUUCACCGGCGCGGAUUUGGAUGAAGCGAAAAACGGAAUUUGGCGACGGAAUUUUUCCUUGUUGCUCGUUGUUCCUCUUCGUGUGUCGCAUCGUAAUCCGCCCAACGUGCAGUCGCGUUUCAAUUUAUUUUAUACUCGGCGGCGGAGCGGCUGUACCGUGCGUUAAUUAAUGAGAAUCGGAUUAAACGUUCGACCGUAAUUAUCUCGGAGCGGAAAACUUACUGCAGCGAAAGGACGAAGUUCGCGAAAUUCUCCCGGCGUUUUCCCAUUGCGAAAUAUCGCGCGUAUGCACGUGUCAAUUGCUAUUCAAACACCGAGUCGUCGAGAAACUUGCGCUCGCGGCGCAUUUGUUUCAGUUACCGCGCAUUGUGAAAUCGGAAAAUAUAUUCAUCUCCGACUUACUGCAUAAUGAUGUCUAGUGCGGGUUCUUUGAGGGACGCUUCACGAUGAGCGUCAAUUACGGUGCUCGGCGGCUUUCAAUUAAACCGCGAGUGGAGUCGAAUGCAAAUCACUACGUAUCAGCAGGAAAGAAGUACGUUCAAAAUCAAUAACGCUGCGGCAAUAUUUUUCUCUUGCGAGGGAACAGAAAUGUAAGAGCGUAAAGUGGAAUUGUGUAAACCGCACUUGAAAAAUAUCGACUCCCCAAUAAUUUUCUUGAGUGUUUCGAGAUCGCGUUAUCUCUGUUCCUUCCUCGGAAUCAUUCGCCGCGUUUCGAUUAUCAGACUCGCUUCAGUUAGCAAUCGUGUGCUGCCUCAUCCAUACGCGUCCUUCACUACUACCACACGCGCGCACAAUUUUCUAUCUCGGUGCUUUAGAACGAGCUUUCCAGCUUCCACGGUCACAUUGUGUGUAUCCACAUGGACUUUUUUUCCCCUGACUGCCUCGAACUCCUCUAAAGGGAAGAUUGUGGACGCGGUAACUGGAUGUAGGAAAUGACGCGCAUGAAAGCGAUCAGCCGCCGUUCCGUUUUUUUUCGCGAUUCUCGUUUAUCGUACGAUAUAUUUUAUCCAUUAACAAAAACAAGGAAAAAAGGAAAAAAUUCAAUAUGCAGUCGCGACACACCGAAGAAUAUUCAUGGGAUAUUCAUUGCGCGCGAUACAACGCCACGAAGUUAACUAAAAAAGGACGUGCGAUUCAAAAGCCGAUUGAUCUUUACAAUCGGCAGCUGGGAGAGUUAAAAAGGCAAUGUUAUCGUGGCAUGUGCGGGAUACAGGUCGCUGAAUUGCGGUAUUCCAUAUAUAUAUACAUAUAUGGAAACAGUAACAUUUACUAUAGGCGUUGUUAGGGAUCAGAAUUGCGCUAGAUAAACCGCGAGUUCGCGUAUUAACAUGAGCAUGAUUUCCUAUUGAUUUUCACCAUCCGUCAAAAGAUGGUUGCGGCUACCCGUAUCACCAUUCAGCUGUGGUAACUUUUGAGACAGUAAAUGCUAAGAUUAAGAGUAGCCUCACCAUCUUUAAUUGUUUAUAACUUAUAAUAAAUGACAAGCGACAAUUAAAACUUUUUGCAAAUUGGUCAGAGCCAUAUCCUUGAUAAUAUGUGAUCAUUGAAAUCAGUGAGGUCGAUUCUAAAGCUUUUAAUUAAUCCAAAUCUAAUUCUACAGAUUCUCUCUCUAAUUUUAAUUUUAAAUUAAAAUUUAGUUUGGGUUAGGUUAAAAUUUUUUGAAGAUGAGAACACAGGGAGAGGGGUGGAGUCCUUCCCCCACACACGUGUUUUCUGUGGUAAUUUAUGCGAAAAUGAACGCAGUUUUAUAUUCCAAACAUUUUGGUAAAUAUUAAGAUGGGGUAACCAUUGUUUAAUUGUUCAUAAUUUUUGCAAAUUAGUCUCUAAUCUUAGUAUAUUACUUUUGAAAUUUAUUCAGUCGCUAAAUAUCGCCGAGACAACUCAUUAACCGAUAAGUGUCUUGAUCUUCUGAGUAUUAAGCACGAGGGUUGUACGCAUAUUACAUUUACUGUUAUAUUGUUAUAUUAGGCAGUAAGCCUUGAUUAACAAUGUUAAUGAACAAUAACAUGUUCCGUUAACCGAGUUUCCGCGCUCAUUAUUUCUCCUGUGUCGAUACCACGCUCUGAAUUCAAUUGUGGGCGCACAAUCUAUCCUGUGAAUCGCAUCUGUAGAGAGCGCAGAACUGACCUAUUUUGGAAAGACGCAUUGGCUCUCAGAAACAUUUUGGUGCUUCGAUUCAGGGAAUUCAAUUUAAUUUUGCCUGCUACUGAGAAAAUGGAUAUUCAUAAUCUUGCACGGACGAGACUAGUGGUCGAAUCAGUUAUUACGUUACCAGUUUGAAUUUUGGGCGUAAUGGGGGGGGGGUGGAAUCGUGUCUGAGAUUUGUAUUUUUACGUAGUAAUUAAUUGCUAUUUACAGAAGAGGCGCGUGGACUCCCCGCAUCAGCGGGACGAGAGGAUCGUUAUUCUCAUGAUUGAUUAAAUUAAUUACUGUUACUUUAAAUAUUCAGAUAUUGUAAUUCUAAAUUCGAUGUUCUUUAUCGCGUCGACUCGCAGGAAUUAAAUCGCAGGAUCACGUUAGUAAACAGUACUGAUCAUAAGCGGAUUCGGCACGUAUUGAUCCGGACAAAACUAAUUGUUUUCUUCCACAAAAUUAAAAAAUGAAACUGUUUGUUGGAGUUUCCAUUUAAAAUUUUUAAUCUAAUCCCCGUUCCACCCACGCAACAGGGGGUUGAGGGAGUAACCUUCAUUCCAGUUUGAAGGCCAUACAUUUUCAUAACAAUUAUCCAUAAUUAUCCAAAUCCAUACAAUUCAAGCACUUGAUAUUUAAUAGAUCGAUAAUGGUCUCUCACGUGUCACGUCACGUGUUCGCACGCGGCAACUUCACUACGUACGUACGUACCAACUUCAUUACGUUGAGCGAUGACGCGCGAUGCACUGUGUCAUUGAUUUUUGUUUUACUCGAUUAACGCAAUACGUUUUGUAUUUUAACUGUUAUAUUUCAGUCGAAAUUGCACGCAUGUGAAUUAUGAAAAUCCUUUACGGCGUGCCAAUUUAAUUGGAAGUUACAAGAAUAUGCGCUCGCGCAUAUGUGACGCGAACUAACCUCCAAUAUGGCGCGUCUUCUAUAAGCUCUCAUAUCGUAAUCGUACCUACGCAGUAUUGCGCACGCGAAUAUCCAGCUGAGAUCGGUAAUUCAUUUGUUACCGGAGGUUCUGGUUCGAGCCAAAUAGGAUCGGCUUGCAGAACGGAAUAGCAGAAGCGAUCCCGUGUGAGUGUGGCCGUUCAGUGAGUAAUGAGUGAGAACAUCUUUAAGAUAAUGGAUAUCUGCUUCUUUUAAUCUUUUGCGGUCUAUAUUAUUCUAGACAUAUUAUUUUGUUCUUCGUGUUGUUCAGUAAAUGUUUUUAUAUUUUACAUAAAUUGUGCACAUGUCACACACACACUUGAACGAACAGUGAUAUAAUUUCCAAUUUUCUCAUUUAAACUUUCAUGUAGAUCUUCUCAUGUCAAAUUCAUCUAUAUUAAAACACUGUUUUCAUUGCUAUAAAGCGAAAAAUAUAGAAAUAAUUAAAGCAUUAAUAUUUCUCUAAAUUAAUUAAAUAAAUAUACUCAUAAAGUUUU
rnacentral:lncRNA from 1 species